ACUAGAUAAGCCUAACUUGUUUUCUAUAGGUUUUCUAUCUUCAGAAAUAACUAGAGGCUCACGCCUAUAUUACAGUGUAGUGAGGCAUGUUUUUUACAUAAAUUUACUGUAUGAAAUAUACAUCAGCAGGUUAGGUAUUUUGUAUCAGCAGGUUAGGUAUUUUGUAUCAGCAGGUUAGAUAUUUUGUAUCAGCAGGUUAGGUAUUUUGUAUCAGCAGGUUAGGUAUUUUGUAUCAGCAGGUUAGGUAUUUUGUAUCAGCAGGUUAGGUAUUUUGUAUCAGCAGGUUAGGUAUUUUGUAUCAGCAGGUUAGAUAUUUUGUAUCAGCAGGUUAGGUAUUUUGUAUCAGCAGGUUAGGUAUUUUGUAUCAGCAGGUUAGGUAUUUUGUAUCAGCAGGUUAGAUAUUUUGUAUCAGCAGGUUAGGUAUUUUGUAUCAGCAGGUUAGAUAUUUUGUAUCAGCAGGUUAGGUAUUUUGUAUCAGCAGGUUAGGUAUUUUGUAUCAGCAGGUUAGGUAUUUUGUAUCAGCAGGUUAGAUAUUUUGUAUCAGCAGGUUAGGUAUUUUGUAUCAGCAGGUUAGGUAUUUUGUAUCAGCAGGUUAGGUAUUUUGUAUCAGCAGGUUAGGUAUUUUGUAUCAGCAGGUUAGGUAUUUUGUAUCAGCAGGUUAGGUAUUUUGUAUCAGCAGGUUAGGUAUUUUGUAUCAGCAGGUUAGGUAUUUUGAGCUUGCUUUCAGUAACUGUUUCCAUUGUUAGAUAUAUAGUACUGUUUAUUAUACUUGUGAUUUUUUUAUACCCAUAUUAUAGAGUUAAAUGAUUUUUCUGAACUGAUUUUUAUUACACUAUCUUUUCUGUAUCUUUGUUGAAAGUGGAAGGAUACAGAUCUAAAAAAAAACCUAUUUUGACCCACCUACAUAUUCAUUUAUGAAUACAAUAAAAUCAAUCUAUAUAAUCUUUCAAUUAAAAAAAAUUGUUUAAAAACAAUAAACAUGUUUAUCCUGAAACCAGAAAUUACAAGUCAAGUUAUGACGGAGGUGAUUAACACCUCAUCAAUAAAUAAGAAGUGGAGGUCAUUAUCGACUUUCAUAUGUAAACAUUCAAGUGACCUUGAAAAGGAAGUGUAGCAUCUGUGGACUGGUCAUAAUGUGAUGUAAAAAUAAGCACAUCUCAUUAACCUGAAUGUACCUGUGAAAAGGAAGUCAUGUAUAUGUAAACUGGUCAUAAUGUGAUGUAAAAGUAAGCACAUCUCAUUAACCUGAAUGUACCUGUGAAAAGGAAGUCAUGUAUAUGUAAACUGGUUAUAAUGUGAUGUAACAUUCAUCUAAAUAUAAUAUAACAUGUAUCAGUAUUGCUUAUAUUGCCAAAUAUGGAGGUGUAAAUCAUUUAUAGUUUAAAAGUGUUUAUUUUACUGUCAAAUAUGUUUUAGGAAUAUAGAUACAUGUAUAUACCGUAGUAUUUCUGGCUAAUUUUCAUAAUGUAGGAUUCAGUUAAAUAUUUUAAAGCUAAUAUUUAGAACAUCCUGAUCUUUGGUCUAGUCAUUGAUCUCAAUUAAAACUUCUAUUAUAUAGAA